rnacentral:sRNA from 1 species
AAACGGUCAUAUUAUGUCAACUUCGCA